rnacentral:rRNA from 1 species
GAGUGGACGCUGGCGGUAGGCCUAACACAUGCAAGUCGAACGGCAGCACAGUAAGAGCUUGCUCUUACGGGUGGCGAGUGGCGGACGGGUGAGGAAUACAUCGGAAUCUACUUUUUCGUGGGGGAUAACGUAGGGAAACUUACGCUAAUACCGCAUACGACCUACGGGUGAAAGCAGGGGAUCUUCGGACCUUGCGCGAUUGAAUGAGCCGAUGUCGGAUUAGCUAGUUGGCGGGGUAAAGGCCCACCAAGGCGACGAUCCGUAGCUGGUCUGAGAGGAUGAUCAGCCACACUGGAACUGAGACACGGUCCAGACUCCUAAGGGAGGCAGCAGUGGGGAAUAUUGGACAAUGGGCGGAAGCCUGAUCCAGCCAUACCGCGUGGGUGAAGAAGGCCUUCGGGUUGUAAAGCCCUUUUGUUGGGAAAGAAAAGCAGCAGGUUAAUACCCCGCUGUUCUGACGGUACCCAAAGAAUAAGCACCGGCUAACUUCGUG